rnacentral:misc_RNA from 1 species
UGAAGUGUGUGUUUGUGUUUGUA